rnacentral:rRNA from 1 species
AAGGCCUACCAAGGCGACGAUCUGUAGCGGGUCUGAGAGGAUGAUCCGCCACACUGGGACUGAGACACGGCCCAGACUCCUACGGGAGGCAGCAGUGGGGAAUAUUGGACAAUGGGGGGAACCCUGAUCCAGCCAUGCCGCGUGUGUGAAGAAGGCCUUUUGGUUGUAAAGCACUUUAAGCGAGGAGGAGGAGCUCUAGAUUAAUACUCUAGAUGCUUGGACGUUACUCGCAGAAUAAGCACCGGCUAACUCUGUGCCAGCAGCCGCGGUAAUACAGAGGGUGCAAGCGUUAAUCGGAUUUACUGGGCGUAAAGCGUGCGUAGGUGGUCUUUUAAGUCGGAUGUGAAAUCCCUGAGCUUAACUUAGGAAUUGCAUUCGAUACUGGGAGACUAGAGUAUGGGAGAGGAUGGUAGAAUUCCAGGUGUAGCGGUGAAAUGCGUAGAGAUCUGGAGGAAUACCGAUGGCGAAGGCAGCCAUCUGGCCUAAUACUGACACUGAGGUACGAAAGCAUGGGGAGCAAACAGGAUUAGAUACCCUGGUAGUCCAUGCCGUAAACGAUGUCUACUAGCCGUUGGGGCCUUUGAGGCUUUAGUGGCGCAGCUAACGCGAUAAGUAGA